CGACCUCCUGCCAGCGAUGACGGGUCAUAAGAUGAAGGGUAAGGCAGGGGGUGUUGAGGGGCUGACCGAGCCGGUCGCGGGGUCGCGAGAGCCCACCGGGUGAGGCUGCCUCUUGAGUGCCGACUUUUUGUUCAGUCUCCGGCGACGAUCUCCAACUGGGGGGGGGGGGGUCUGUCUUUCCGGGUCGUGGGCUCCACCCUGCUACGAAUGCCAACUGUACAACGGCAGGUUCGGGUUUCGCUUUAACAAGUACCCAGAUGUUGAGCAUCUGCGGGAAAAAAGCUAGAUGCCCCUGGGAAUCCCUGCCCCCAAGGAGGGGUGUUCGAUAAAAUACAGGACUCCCAGAAUUGAAUUUCAGAUAAACAACAAAUAUUUUUUAGUACGUCUCGAACAUUUUUAUGGGACAUACUAAAGCAAGUAUUCAUUUUUUUUUAUCUGAAAAUCAAAUAUAACUGAGCGUCCUUGUUUUGAUUAGCCGAAUCUGGCAGCCCUGCCUCCGAAUACUUUCCGAACUACCAAGAACGGUGGGACGGAACAUCCAUUUUUCAGUUUCUAGUCUGGGCAAGGUGUUCUGUGCCGAUAUAGCAGAGCUAGACUUAGUAAUUGGACCAGGAUCUUCCCUUCCCACAGCUUAUGGUCUUUAGUCUCUACGGUGUGAAGCAGGAAGUGACACUGGUUAGAAAAUGAUACUCCUGCUGAUGACCUUGACAGAUGGAUAUGAUUUCAGUAUGCGAGGAGGUAGGGAGCUUCUUCCAGGUAGGGGAAACUCUAAAGUAAGAAAGCCUCCUCAUUAACUGUUCAGCUUGAUAAAAGAAGAGAUUGUAUGAGGGAAGGGACGCCAAGCUAAAACUUUAAGUUAGGGACAUAUUUAUUAAGAAUCUUGAAAUGUACAUGAGAAAGAACUACACUUUUCAGGAAAUGCAUAGAAGGUGGUUGAGUACUGUUCAGUGCACAAAUAUAAGACAGACUUAUUAGGAGAAGAAUGUCUCUGUUUUCUCAGUUCCCACUCUUUAUUUUCUUCUUAGAAUUAACUUGGAAGGAGAAAAGAGACAGAGAGAGACAGACAGACGGACGGAUGGACAGGCACGGGCGCGGGUUGAAAACAGCAAUCCCAGGAGUUUCCCAGGCAGCAAAACAACCCAAGGAAAAUUUGCCCACCUCAAAACUGGAAUCAGAAGAUUCCCCAAAUACUCAGCCUGAGCUUUCUAGAACCCAUUUUGCUUAUCAAAGCCACUGUGUGUGUGUGUCUGUUGCAAGCACUCCACCACCAAGCCACAUGCCCAGCCCCAAAGCCACUCUCAGUUUAGAAAACGGACUCUGGAGUUUCUCCCUCAACCUCAGGAAACUCUGAACUCUCAAAAUUGCAUUUUUUUCCAGCAGAGAAUUUUCACAAAUGUGACUUAAAUCUGAAAAAGCAAAGAUAUUUUGUCCAUUGAAAAUGUAAAAUUAUGAGAACCAAAAUGUCUAAAGCAGCUAAUUUCCAAAACAUCAACUCUAACAUGACUAGCUUGAAAAAAAAUUUUUUAAUCAUUUUUAGGCAUGAUGAAUUCAUUUCUUUGCACAUCAAUUGAAAAAUCCUUCUUGCUUCAUAUCCUAGAACGGUUUUAAACCAGAGGCCCUUCAAGAGCUUAUCUAAAUUACCCUUAUUUAGGGAGAUAAUCAGCUAAAAGUGGACCAGAGUUUCUGCAGUUUCAUCUAGCCUAAAGAAACAGGGGAAGGAGGUUUUUUUUUCUUUUUCUGUUCUUAAAAGAGUUCUAGGACAAUCUUAUUUCUUUUAAUUUGAGGAAUAGCAUCAAAAUUGUAUAGAUAGGAAUAUAAAACAAAUCUCCACCCUGCAAGAAAACCUCAUAGUGUCACAAUUUUUCUUACUCUGUUUGUCUUGAGAAAUAACAUAGUCUUUUGGGCUAAGGGCAAAUAGCUUAUCCUUACAUCUAAAGUUCCCUUCCCGCUUUCUCAGAGGACCAUUACUGCUUAUUAGAGCCUCAGAAUUUAGCAAGAAAUGCUCUGGAAGCCUUCUCCUCGGUGCAUAGAUUGAGAGAUUGAACCUAGGGAAGUGCAUAUGUUGUCAAGAUCACACUGUGACUGGUCAGCAGUUCUGUUUUAUGAUUCAGUCUUUUUUUUUUAAAGAGAGAGAGAUUGAGAAUUUUUUAAUAUUCAACAUCUUUAUUUUAUUUUUAUGUGGUGCUGAGGAUCGAACCCAGCGCCCCGCGCAUGCCAGGUGAGCGCGUUCCCUCCUGAGCCACAUCCCCAGCCCAUCAGUCUUUUGUUCUUUGGUACCAGGGAUUAAACCCAGGGACACUUAACCACUGAGCCCCAUCCCCAGCCUUAUUUUGCAAUUUGUUUAGAGACAGGGUCUCACUGAGUUGCUUAGCACCUCGCUAAGUUGCUGGGGCUGACUUAGAACUUGCAAUCCUCCUGCCUCAGCCUCUGAACUAGUUGCUGGGAUUUCAGCCGCCCCCAUCCCCGCCUGGCUACAAUGGAUGAUGUACUGUGUGGUUAACUUUUCCUUUGAGGCAUUAAAAGGUGCAUAUGUGUUUGCAGAAAAGGCCUAUUUGGCAGCUCAAAAAAAAAAAAAAAAAACCCCAACCUUCUUCCCCUUCCCUUGCUGCCACAGGCCAGGGGCCUGCCAGCCAUUGCCCUGAGGGGAAGACUCAGAGGAGAAAGGGAAAACAGAGAUGUCAAUUUCUUGGCUCUUGAAUUUCAAGACUAAAGUUCUGAAUGUGAGAUUUGAAAGAACACACAUUUUGGUUGGCGUCCCUAAUUCUGUUCCCUUCCCCAAUUCAUUCUAGCAAUGAGUUCUGAGUGACCCCAGAGAGAGCUUGGUGAGAUGGCCUGGCCUGCAAACCAGCCCCCUGGAAGCCCUGUAGAGGCUGAGGUCAUGCUCUGCCCCCAGAGCAUGCAACCUCCCACUCAAUGAUAAUAAUUAUUAUUAAUGAAGAAUUUCUGCUCUUCAAAAAACUGGGGAACAUUUUUUUUUUUUUUGGUACAGAGGAUUGAACCCAGGGGUGUUUUACCACUGGGCCACAUCUCCAGCCCUUUUCAUUUUUUAUUCAGAGACAGGGUCUCAGUAAGUUGCUUAGGGUUUCCCUGAAUUGCUGAGGCUGGCCUUGAACUUGUGAUCCUCUUGCCUCAGCCUCCUAAGCCACUGAGAUUACAGGCAUGCACCACCAUGCCCAGCUCUUGGGAAUGAUGUUGACCAAAUUAUAUGGUUAUAUUGUGUGUGCAUACAAAUAUGUAACAACAAAUUCCACCGUUAUAUAUAAUGAUCAUGCACCAACAAAAAUAUGGAAAAAAAGGAUUUCUGUUCUUCAAAAGACAUCAUAUGCAGUACAGAAAGGUGGGGAAGGGAGAGGAGGAUAGCUGUACAAUGCAGAAACCUGACAACACUCCCUCAGUCAGGAGAUCAAGGUCAACAUCAGCAGUGAUAAACCACAUUGAUAGUAUGUAUCCGGAUAUGAUAUGAUGCUUCACCUGUGUGGUCUUCCACCCCCAUGAGAGAAGUAUGGGACAAAUUCUAGUAGAGGAGCUUUCUACAAAACACCUGAUCACCACCCUUCAAAACUGUCAAUGUUGCCAAAGAUAAGGAAAGUCUAAGAAACUGUCACAGCCAAGAGAAGCCUAAAGAGAAAUGAUGAUGGAAUGUAAUGAGGUGUCCUGCUUGGGCUACUCCAACAGAAAAAAGGAAAUAUGAAUAAAGUAUGAACUUUAGUUAAUAGUAAUACAUCAAUAUUGGUUCAUUAGUUGUGACAAAUGGACCACACUGACGCUAAUAAUAGGGAAGGCUGGGUGUGAGGUAUGUGGGAAAUAUCUGUAUUGUAUUCUCGAUUUUUCUGUAAAUGUCAAACUGUUCUGAAAAAAAAAAAACACUAUAAAGUAAGUGAAAAUAUGAGCCAGAAAAUGGGAAAAGAUAAGCUGUAUCCAGAAUAUAUGAAUCACCCUGUGACUCAAUAAGAACAAGACAAUCUGAUAGAAAAGUAGGUCACAGACUUUCACAGACCUCACCAAAGAGGAAAUCAAAGGCCAGUAAAUACAUAUUAAAAAAAGAUUCUCAACCUUAUUAUUAGUUAGGGAAAUGCAAAUCUGAAACCACGAGAUAGCACCACACACCACUAGGUUGGCAAAAGCUAAAUGCCUGGCCAUGCCAAGCGUAGGCAAGGAUUGUGAAUCAGCUGAAACUCGUAUCGUGCUAGUAGGAGUAUAAAUUGGUGCGAUGGUAUCCAAGAAUAUUGCCUAAUCUAUUAAAGUUGAAGCUAUUCCUAGCCUAUGAGUCAGCUGUUCAGUUGGAAUAAAUACCACACUAAAAUGCAUUUACAUACGACAGAAUACAUGUACAAGAAUGUCCCUACCAGCACCGGUCGUAAUAGCCCCAGAGUGAAAGCAGUUUAAAUGUCCAUUAGCAAUAGAAUGUCUGGGUGUGGUGGUGCAUGCUUGUGAUCCCAGUGACUUGGGAGGCUGAGGCAGGAGGAUCACAAGUUGGAGGCCAGCCUCAACAACUUAUUGAGGCCCUAAGCAACUUAGUGAGACCCUGUCUCUAAAUAAAAAAUAAAAAGGGCUGGGGAUGUGGCUCAGGGGUUAAGUGCCCCUGGGUUCAAUCCCCAGUACCAAAAAACAAAGCAAAAAAUAAAUAAAUAAAUAAAAAUAAAGAGAUUGUUAUGUAAAAAUCAGAAUAGUGGUAGCCUCCAGGGUGGACAGAAAACAGAUAUUUCUGAAACACACAUGCAGCAGGAUUUAGGGGUGCCAGUCAUUUCUUAACAUAGGUAGUGGUUGCUACACUAGUGUUCAUUUUAUAUGAUUAUCCAUAUUCUGAACAUUGAUGUGUAUUCAUUGUGUAUUAUAUUUCACAGUAGAAAGCCUUUAUAAGUCUAGUUUGCUCCUUUGAAUCUUGAGAAGGCACACUUCCCUUUGACUUGGUAGAAAUUACAUGUAGUGGAUUCAAUUUAUGUUUGAAGAAUCUUGUAUUUACAGAUCAGUUCUUCAGUGAGUGUGGAAGUUUCCAAAGAAAGGCCAGUGUUAUGGUUGCCCUUAUAAGGGACUGUCUUCCCAGAUAUUUUAUUUAUUUAUUUAGGUGCUGGAGAUGUGAACCCAGGGACACUUAACCACUGAGCCAUAUCCUUUUAAAUAUUUUAUUUACAGACAGAGCCUUGCUAAAUUGCUGAGGCUGACUUUGAACUCGUGAUCCUCCUGCCUCAGCCUCCUGAGCUGCUGGGAUUACAGGUGUGUGCCACCAUGCCCUGCUUAGUGUGUUCUCUUCAAAAAUGCAAGUGACAUGGGACUCCUACUUCAUCAUUGUCGACUCGGUGUGUAUACUGUCAGAUAUACAUUAAAAUACCCAAAACAUUAGGCUCAGCUGCACCCAUCUCCACAACUGGAAUGUACUGUAAUAAGCCAUCUUUGGCAGGGCAGUCGCAUGGGUCACACCUGGUCAUUCUUGAAACCUUCUCAUUCCUUCUCACGUCCCCGCCAGCUAGUCUGUGCUUGAUAAACUACCAACUGAAAUGGGGUGGUCACGUGACCCAGACAGGCCAAUGGGCUUCUCAAUCCUAGAAUUUGGGGAUUGGGGCUCAAAGAUCCUACUGAUUUCUUUGGUAACCCUUGAACAGAGAGACCUGGGAGUUACCAUCUUUUGCCACAUAUUUAGAGAGGAGUAAAGCUGACAUCCGAAGACAAGUAGACAGGAAAGACCAGAUGUGUCCACUGGUCCUACCGGGUUUGAAAUUCUUGGUUGUCAAUCCCUGGGAAGUCUCAACGGCUUUCCCUGACUUGGAAAUAGGUGAAAUGCCCCCAGAAUCCUUAUAACUCAAUCCUGUCAUUUAAAAAAUAAAUUUACUGUAAUUAUACUAAAAUGUUUUACCAUCUUAACCAUUUUUGGGGGUAGGUGGUACUGGGGAUUGAACUCAGGGGCACUCGACCACUGAGCCACAUCCCCAGCCCUAUUUUGUAUUUUAUUUAGAGACAGGGUCUCACUGAGUUGCUUAGCGCCUUGCUCUUGCUGAGGCUGGCUUUGAACUGCGAUCCUCCUGCCUCGGCCUCCCGAAACCGUGGGAAUUACAGGAGCUUCUUAACCAUUUUAAGUGUACAGUUCAGUGGCAUUAAGUACUUUGGAAUUGUUAAGCAACUGUUACCACCAUCCAUCUCCAAAACACUUUCCUUGUGUAAAUCUGCAACUCUGUACACAUUAAACAAUCAUUCCUCCUUCCUCCCUUCCCCCAGCUUCUGACAACUAUCAUUCCAUUUUCUCUCUAUGAAUUUGAGUACUGGUAAGUUACAUUGUAUUCUUUUGCAACUGGCUUCUUUGUUUUUAAAAAUUUGUUUUCCCCAGUACUGGAGAUUGAACCCAGGGGCAUGCAGCUCUGACUUACACCCAAAGCCCCUUUAAAAUUUAAUUUAAUUUUGAGACAAGGUCUCACCAAGUUGCCAAGGUUGGCCUUGAACUUGAUCCUCUUAUCUCAGCCUCUCCAACUGCUAGGAUUAUAAGCAUGUGCCACUGCUGCUGGCUGCAACGGGCUUAUCUUAUUUAAUAUCCUUACAGUAUCCUUGAGGUCCCUCCAUAUUGUAGCACAUGUCAGAAUUGCCUUCCUUUUUAAGGCUGAAUAGUAUUCCACUAUAUGGAUUUAUCACAUUUUGUUUAUCCAUUCAUCUGUUGAUGGACACUUGGGUUGCUUCUGUGUUUUGGUUAUUAUGGAUAGUUCUGCUAUGAACAUGGAUUUGUAAAACAUCUCUUCAAGACUGUUUUCAGCUGGGCAUGGUGGUGCACACCUGUCAUCCCAGCAGCUUGGGAGGCUGAGGCAGGAGGAUCAUGAAUUCAAAGCCAGCUUCAGCAACUUAGUGAGGCCCUAAGCAUAUCUGUGAGUCCCUGUCUCUAAAUUAAAAUAUAAAACAGGGAUUGAGACAUGGCUCAGUGGUUAAGUGCCCCUAAGUUCAGUCCCCAGUAUAAACCCUGUUUUCAGCAAGGAAGUGGGCUUUGCCAGAUCAUGAAAUUGUAUUUUAAUUUUUUGAGAAACUACCAUACGGUUUUCCACAGAGGAUGUAGCCCUGUGUAAUUUCACCAACCAUGCGUAAGGUUCCCAGCCUCUUUACAUCCUUGCCAACACUUGGUAUUUAUUUAUUUAUCUCUUUAUUUAUUUAUUUUAUAUUGGUUAUCCCAAUGGGUAUAAGGGCAGUCUCUUCUUUUGCAUCAGCUGAUUUGAUUGGGUGUGUGGGGCUUGUGACUAACAACCCUGACUAAAAUAAGAAUGUUUUAGGGCUGGGGUGUGGCUCAGUGGCAAAGUACUUACCUAGCAUGUGCAAGGCCCUGGGUUCCAUCCCCAGCGCGCGUGUGCACACACACAUACACACGCGCGCGCACACACACAAACACAAGCAUGUUCUUUUUUGUUCACUGUUUAAGUACCCCUAUUUCUUUCUCUCAAGCUCCUUAUAACAUGCUUCUGAUAAAUUUAUCACUAAUUCCUCCUUUUUUGAGGUCUGUUUAUACUUUUUAUGUAUUUAUUUUAUUUGUUCUUUUUAGCUACACAGGACAGUGGAGUGUAUUUGGACAUAUCAUACAGACAUGGAGUAUCACUUCCCAUUCUUGCUGGGGUUGUGGCUCAGGGAUAGAGCAUUUGCCUCGUGCAUAUAAGGUUCUGGGUUCGAUCCUCAGCACCACAUAAAAAUAAAUAACUAACUUCCCAUUCUUGUGGUUGCACAUGAUGUGGAGUUUCACUGGUCGUGUAUUCAUAUAUGAACUCAGGAAAGUUCUGCCCCAUUCAUUCUAAUAUCUUUGCUAUUCCCAUCCCCCUCCCCUCCCUCAUACUUUUGAUUUAACAAUAGCAAAAUCACGAUGGCUCAGAAGCCAGUGUCCUGGAGGGCAUAGUAGCUAUAGUCUCCUCUAAGACAUGUCAUGCUCAGAAGCUGUGUGCCAGACACUCAGUAUCCAUCUUCACCCCCUUUUUGAUUUCUCUCUUAUCUCAGGGGCUGGAAAGCUAACAACUAUAUUACCCAGACUCCCUUGCACUAGAAUUUUCCAGACAUGAUUGGGAUUUCACUGAUGAGAUGCUUGGUGCUGGUGAACAGGUGCUGGUGUAGAGGGGGCCAGACUCUAAUCUCUCUGUCUAGUGGCCAGCUUCAUGGUGGGAUUGGCAAUUCUGGUAGCAAAGUGGCAGCUUCCUCAUCUCUGGAUCGCAGCUAAAGUCGUGUGAUUUUUGAAACCAAUAGCCCAAGGACAGUCCCUCCCCUUCUGCUCUUCAAGCUCUUUUGAGGAUUUUGUAAGCACCUUAAAUUCUCAGCAUAGAAUCUUUCUGUUUGAAAUAUUUUUUCCUGAUUAAACCUUGACUGAGUCAGAGGGCAAUCUUAUUUCCAAGUUUUAAUGGGAACUUCAUCUUAUUAAGCCACUGGACACUUACUUUGGUGAUUUCACCACCACCCUGAAAAAACCUGUAUCCUCUGACUCUAUGAUGAGAGUACUCAAAAUAUUUCUUAUCUUUAAGGGUGAUAGAGGCAGACUUGGAGGGAGCACAGGUGAACUUUCUCGGGUACUAAAAAUGCUUUAUAUCUUGAACUGGGUGGUAGUUACAUGGAGGAUAUACAUAGGUGAAAGUAUAACAACUCAGUGUUCGUAGAAAAUGUUGUAAGAACACAAUAUUUGAUGAAUAAAUGAAUGAAUUAUUUAAUAAAUGAUUUCUAUUUAUAUGUGGAGUAUGAAAUAGAGGAAAUCUAAUAGCGAAGUAUUUUGAUUUCUGUUGCUAUAACAAAAUACAUGAGGCUUAGUAAUAUAUGAAGAAAAGAGGUUUAUUUAGCUCACAGUUUUGGAUGCUGUAUGUUCAAGACUAGCAGUCCCAUCAGUUCAGCUUCUGAUGAGGGCUUCAUGGAGGAUGGCAUCACAAGGGCAGGAGAACAUGCAGAGGAAGUCACAUGGCAAAACAAGAAGCCAAAGAGAUUCAGAGGCCAGGCUUGCUCUUUUAUAACAAUUCACUCCUGAGGGAAUUUACCAGGGUCUAAGAGAACUACAUCAAUCCCUUCUAAGGCCUAGAGAUCAAUGGCCUAAGCCUGACCUUUUGUUUUCUUCCCUCCCUCCCUUCCUUUCUUCCGGUGCUGGGUAUAGAACCCAGGCCCUCACGCAUGCCAGGCAAGUGCUCUACCCCAGCCCAAGCAUUACCUAUUAAAAGUUCUGCCACCUUGACACCACCACACUAGGGGUGAAGCUUCCAGCACAUGAACCUUUCGAGGACAAUCAUACCCAAACCAUAACAUGAAGGUACCAGUAAGUUUAAUUUCUAGAUAAUCACACAGGCAAAGACAGGGCAAAAACUGUGUCUCCCCAGCAAUUCUUUUCAUGACAAAUUUUCAUGAGAGCUGGUUGGAAUGCAUGGCCACCAGAGCAGGUCCUGUGUCCUCGGUUUCCCCCCAGCAGUUUCCCUUCUUUUCUGUCUUCCCCAUUCUGCAUUAAACCCCAUAGACUACCUACCCCCCCUCUGGUACCAGGGAUUGAACCCAUGGGUUCUUAACCACUGAGCCCCAUCCCCAGCCCCUUUUUAAAUUUUUUAUUUAGAGACAGGGUCUCCCUGAGUUGCUUAGAACCUCACUAAAUUGCUGAGGCUGGCUUUGAACUUGUGAUCCUCCUGCCUCAGCCUCCCAAGCUUCAGGGAUUACAAACAUGUGCCACAGCCCCCGGCCCCCAGUCCCCUAAAUAAUGUUAUAGCAGCAGUUACAUUUCAAUAUGAGUUUUGGAAAAAAAUAUUUGAACCAUAGCAGGAAGAAACAGACCCCACACCUCUCAAUAGAGGCCUGUUAAAGCCAAAGUCCCACUGUAAGAAGAGACUGUUGGGCUCCAUGUCAGAGAGCUGUUUAGAAAAUACAAUCUGCCACAGGGGGUUUGCAUACAGAUGAGAAGUUAAUGGUUGUCAUAGCUAAUAUAAUACUAUUUUGCCUAACAAUAUGUAUGUAAACAUUUCACCACAUUCUUCUAUAAGAUCAUUUAACUCUUUUUGUUUUAUUUUGCAAUGCUGGGGUUGGAAAUCUUUUUUAUAUUUUAUUUAGAAACAGGGUCUCGCUGACUUGCUUAGGGCCUCACUAAGUUGCUGAGACUGGCUUUGAACUCACGAUCUUCCUGCCUCAGGCUGCCCAGGCAAGUGCUCUACCACUAAGCUAUACCCCCAGUCCUGACAGUGCCAAGUUUUAAAAUUCAUGUGACCAAAGUAAUACAUACAAUUUCAAAAUAUACAAAUGCAUGAAGAAAAAUAAAGUCAUGUUAUAUAUCCAUGCUUUUUUUUGUACUUAAAAAUUAUACCCCCUACCAGGACCCUUCUCAGUUCCGUGUACUUGCUAACAUUUCAGCUAAUGUGGGAAUUUAAACAUCUUUAACACUCAUCAGGGACUGGACCCUACUACUGCUAUAUCAUAGAACUCAGGCUGAGCAGGACAUAAAAUAUAUAUAUAUAUAUAUAUAUAUAUAUAUAUAUAUAUAUAUAUAUAUAUAUAUCUCAGUUACUUUACUAAGGCAGGAAGUAGAGAUGUAUAUUAUUAAUUUCCAGUGUGGUAUUUGGCUUUAAUACAUGACAUUUAUUUGCCAUUUAGUAACAUCAUUACUGAGUUGAUCGUAUCUUAUUCUUUUUUUACAGCUACAUAGUAUUUCAUAGUCUGGGUUCUGGUUUCUAUAAGUUAUUUGUUGCAGGUUAACCAACUUAUUUAUUUAUUUAUAUUUUUGGAUCCCCAAAGUAUUAUUUAUUGUCUUCCUGGGGCAGUUGAAGAAGAGAAGGAGGUGGGUGGAAAGGAGGGGCUCAGCUGAGCUGGGGCACUUGACCACAGAGACCCAAAUCCAUCUGCCCAAAAGGAGCAGAAUGGGGACAGAGGAGUGGAGAUACAAAAACCCUGUGUCCCAGGCUGGGGUUGUAGCUCAGUGGUAGAGCGGUUGCCUCACACAUGUGAGACCCUGGGUUUGAUCCCCAGAAUCAUAUAAAAAUAAACAAUUUUUAAAAAAAGAUAUUGUGUCCAUCUACAACUAAAAAUAUAUAUAUUAAAAAAAAAAAACUUGUGUCCCCACACUGGGCCAUCCCACCACAUGACUGUCAGCUUGGCUGGCAGGAGAGCAGUGCCACCCUCUCUGAUCACACCAGGACUGGGUCCUGCUUAAAGAACAAGAAUGUGAAGAAGAAUGGCUUCUCAGGUGUCAACAAGAGGCUGAACUUCUUACUUAGGUCAUUGGUCUGUAGGAUUUCAAUUCUGAAGUUCUCCAGCCCACAAAUGAGGGGAAGGGUUCCCUCCAGCUCUGCCACCCACCACCCCACAUGAGGCUGCAUACUCCAGCCAAGCCCAGGUACCAGAAGUCGGUUUUGUCCUUGUUUUUGCUUAGCCAUUGGGUGAGAUGGACAUCACCAGGGUUGGAGAGGAAGAUGGUUUCUCAGCCCAUGGUAUAGUUGGCUGCCUGCAUCAGUGUCUUGGCCGGAAUCACGUAACCACAAAGAAUCAAGUCAUGCACAAGAUACCUCUGCAUAGUCACGGAGGUGAACUGCAGUCUGUGGGAAGAGGGCACUCAGAAACUGACAGCCACAAAGCCUGGGCACAGGCCACACACCCCACCCCCACCCCACUCUAGCAUAGCGUCUCAGUCCUGCAGCAGCUCUCCAGGGUAUCUGAGGCUGACUGAUUUUUUAAAAAUAUUUUUUUCAUUGAAUAUGGACACAAUAUCUUUAUUUUAUUUAUUUUUAUGUGGUGCUGAGGAUCGAACCCAGUGCUUCACGCAUGCGAGGCAAGCACUCUACCACUGAGCCACAAUCCCAGUCCCUGAGGUUGACCGGUUUUAACAGAACCAAAGAUUAUACAAUAAAACUUUAUAUGCAUUCACUAAAAACACCUUGCAACCUUUCUGAGAAUUGUAAAAAGCAAGCAGUAGAGAACACGACCUUGCGGAGACUCUCUUGUUACAACUGGAGAUUAGUGCGUUGGUUGUGUGUUUUCUUUGUUUGUUUUGAUACUGGGGAUUGAACUCAGGGGCACUCAACCACUGAGCCACAUCCCCAGCCCUAUUUCGUAUUUUAUUUAGAGACAGGGUCUCACUGAGUUGCUCAGGGCCUCUCUAAGUUGCUGAGGCUGGCUUUGAACUCGAGAUCCUCCUGCCUCAGCCUCCCGAGCUGCUGGGAUCACAGGCGUGAGCCACAGCACCCGUCUCUCAGACAUCUUCAUAGCACAGUGGGGUACAGCUUUGGAUCAGACCUCCUUGUGGUUCAUGGACUCAUGGUAGUCUUCCAGAAUAUUAGCGUCCUAGCGGCACAAGGGUUCCUUCUUGUUAUUCUGGUUUAUUUUGGGGUACAGCCUCUCUGCAUCACUGUCCACAGCCAUUAUGGCUGGGCAGCCCUUGCCAGAACCAUUGAACACUCCAAAAAAUUCUCUCAUCGGCUUUUUUCUGGCUUCCUUAGCAAUUCAGUGCCUUCGCAGCCAGCAGGCCCAGCACAGUUUUCAUGAACGCACUUGGCAGGCCCAGGUCCUUUGUCCACACCCAUGGUCCACUUUCAGCUUCUCAAAGCCAGGCCCCAGCUGGGUCUUCUCUUUUCUCCUGUAUCUUGUGGGCUCCGACUCACUCCCACUCUUGAUCCAGGUCUCUCUGGCUCCUUGUCCCAAGGUGUCUUGGUUGUGGAGGGCACAUCAUCCCCAAUAUCUUCAAGAAUGUCCAUGUUGGCUUCUGGAAGUUUCUUCUCUCCAGCUUCCCUUUAUCCAAAUUCUUCUUGAGCUUGCUGUGGGCACCCUGCCUCAGGUACUGUGUGAGGCUUGCUGAUGACGAUGUCAUUCGUGGCUGGUGUAGUCUGGAUCCCCCUCGUGGGUCAAUCUGCCUUGUUGAGGAUAAGAGCGGUGGGAUAUGUUAGCAUCAUCAUUCAGGUGUGUCGCAUAGGCUGUGCCACGUGGCAGGAGCAGCUCGUUCUGCUCACAUGCUCUGUUCUGGAAAAGCAUUUGGUAAACGUUGCUGCCCAGGAUCCUGGGCAUCAAAUGAAAAUGAAAACACUCCCGGGCAGCAACGUUUACCAAAUGCUGUAGCUGGUUCGUGGGCCUCUGUAGUGGAGGCCACGGUAGUUAGCUGCGUUGCUGAUCAGCUUGGUUUGUUCAUACCGUUUUGUUUUCUUGGCACAAUCCAGUACUUUCUCUCUCUCUCUCUCUCUCUCUCUCUCUCUCUCUCUCUCUCCAUUUCUGGUUGGCACAGCUUGGCAUCAUAAUUUUUCUUUUUCAUCCUUUGGACAGCUGGGUCUUCACCCUCACUACACUGUCUUGGCAUCUCAUGGUGACAUGACUUACAGGGUGCUACAGAGGUAGGUGCAGCCCUUGGGGUCAUGAGAAGUUUCCUGAAUGCUUCAUUGGUGAGUUUUGACUGGUGGAGGGACUGAGGAUCACCCACCUUGUGGUCAUCUGGGGCCAAAGGGUUAGAAAACGUUUUUCAAUCUUGCUUUGAAAAUUUCCCCCAGGUCUUUCAAUGUUAGCAAGGACUGAGCAGCUAACAACACCACAACUUCAAGAUUUUUUUUCCCACAGUGCAUCUCAUAAACAACCCACAACCAGGUGCAGUGGUGCAGGCCUGAGCAUCCCAGAGACUUGGGAGACUGAGGCAGGAGGAUCGAAGGUUUGAGGCCAGCUUCAGCAAUUUAGCGAGGUCCUAAGCAACUCAGCAAGACUGUAUCUCAAAAUAAGAAAUAGAAAGGGCUGGGGAUGUGGCUCAGUGCUUAAGCACCCCUGGGUUCAAUUCUUGGUGCUGGAAAAAAAAAAAAAAAACAACCCACAGUGCUUUGUGCCAGUAGUGUUUCUGCCUGCACCUUGUCUCAAUCAUUGGUGCAGAGAAACCGGAAGUGUAAUUUACUUAAUUUUUGUUUUUAAUUUUUUUUAGUUGCAGAUGGACCUUUAAUUAAUUGAUUGAUUGAUUGAUUGAUUUUUGUGUGGUGCUGAGGAUCGAACCCAGUGCCUCACGCGUGCUAGGCAAAUGCUCUACCACUGAGCCCCAGCCCCAGCCCCAAUUUACUUUAAAUAUAGACAGCAUGUUAGGAACGUGUGCAACACAUACUUAAGCAGCCCUCCGGGUGCAGUUUGUUGCUCUUUACAGGAAGUUACGCUCCAGAAGUGAUCAGCUACUUUUAAUCAGAGAAGUCAACCUCUAAGUAUUUCAUCUACAUCACUUUUCUCUCCCAUCCACACCAAGUGUUUUGCUAAUGAGAAUAGUGUUCAAGUAAGUCUGUACAAUGGCUAUUAGGAAAGGGUUGUUUUUCUUGGGGGCGGGUACUGGGGUUUGAACUCAGGGGCACUCGACCACUGAGCCACAUCCCCAGCCCUAUUUUGUAUUUUAUUUAGAGACAGGGUCUCACUGAGUUGCUUAGGGCCUCGCCAUUGCUGAGGCUGGCUUUGAACUCUCCAUCCUCCUGCCCCAGCCUCCUGAAUGGCAAGGUCUCUCUCUCUUUUUUUUUUUUUUUUUUUUUUAAUAUUUUUAGUUGUAGAUGAUCACGAUGCCUUUAUUUUAUUUGUUUAUGUUUUUUUAUGUGGUGCUGAGGAUUGAACCCAGUGCCUCACCUGUGCUAGGCAAGCUCUCUACCACUGAGCCACAACCCCAGCUCCAGAAGAGGGCUCUUAUUGAACUGAGGUGUAGCUCAGUAGUAGAGUUCUUUCCUAGCAUGCAGAAGGCCCUAGAUUCCAUCUCUAGCACCAAACCAAAACAAAAUAAACAACAAUAACAACAAAACACAGCAAAAAAAAAAAAGAUAAGAAAAAGCUCUUCUUGUUGAAAUUGAAAACUAUUCAAGGCCUAUGGAUUGGCUGAACCAUUUGAGAUAUUGCUCCCCCUUGCACAAACAGGGUGGGGGGAAUCUAGAUAGGCACGUGGCCUGUGUUCAGUGGCACCUAAGGCUAAAUCUCUAAUGGGUCCUUUGUGCAGCCAUGAAUUUGGACACUGUGGUUUCCUGAUGCUGGAUACUUUGUCUCAAAAGAACCUUGCAUGGGAGGCAGGGAACUGGAAUUCCAGAGUCCAUUGAAAGGACUGUGCUUGUGAUUGUGGCUGCUUGUUAAUAUACAUAAGGCUGAUUUGGGUCUCAGAGCUACUUUCAUUAUAACUUGGGAGCAAGGUGAGGAAUACUUGAGCCUCACUCACCUUGGCUAAAAGGGAGCUUCAGGUUUGCCUUACCAAAUUGGCCUACUUCAGUUCACAACAUUAUGAAUACAUUACAAUUUAUUUUUUCUUUUUGCUGUAUCAGGGAUUGGAUCCAGGGGUGCUCUCCCACUGGGCUACAUCCCCAGUGCCUUUAUGAAAAUUGUAUCUUGAAACAGGGUCUCACUAAGUUGCUGAGGCUGCCUUGAAAUUGCAAUCCUCCUGUCUCGGCCUCCCAAGUUUCUGGGAUUACAGGAAUGCACCACUGUACCCAGUUUCACAAUUUAUUUUUUCCAAACCUAUUUCAAAAGAUAUUCAAAAUGCUUCCAUUUAUCUGUUGAAGGGCACCUAGUUCCAUAGUUUAGCUAUUGUGAAUUGAGCUGCUGUAAACAUUGAUGUGGCUGCGUCACUGAGGCAUGUUGAUUUUAAUUCCUUUAUAGUAAAAUGAAUUGGACAUUAUUAUCCUAUGUACAUAUAUGAUUACAUGAUCAAUGUAAUUCUACAUCAUGUACAACCAGAAGAAUGAUAAGUCAUACUUCACAUAUGUAGAGUAUGUCAAAAUACAUUCUAUUAUCAUGUAUAACUAAAUAAGAACACAUUUUAAAAAAUGCUUCCAGUAUUUUGCCUUUAUGUGAAAUGCUACACUACCAUCUGGGUCACAACGUAUCUAUAUAAAUCAUUUCAGUAAUUGCAAAAUAUUUCUUAGAUUUUUACAGAAUCUAGAUUUGAACCUAGGUCUGGUCGAUGCCAAAACCCAAUCCUUCCCAAUAUUUCUGGAUAGAAUUUUCUGGAAGAUUGAACUUAAGAAUAAAAGUUCCUGGGGCUAAUCAAGGAUGGAUGCUAUUUUCCCAGUUCCUAUUUGGGAUUCUAAUCUCAGACCUCAGUUGACCUUUCACCCUCCUGGGUCAACUUUCCAAUGACUCUCCAUUCCUUUUUACAGGUAUGGUGCUAUGAACAAAUCCAGAAGAAUCCUGUUCUAAGUUAAUUUUCAAACCUAGGAAAGUACUAAGCUCAGAUUGUCAGUAUAUGGAGUUAAAUAUUACCUCACACACUGGGCAGUGGAUUUAACAUCAUAAUGAAUAAUUUGGAGCAUCAAGUGCAAUAUGGAGAGAUACCAUGUACACAUUACCUAUUUAUGGGACAAUUUGCUAUCUUAACUACAUUAUACUCACCUUCUACCCACCAACCGAAAAGUAAACCAGCAACAUUUGCCAGGAAGUAGCAAACAUAUAUUAAUGACAAAGGGAAGGAAUGGUAUUAUUCUAAAUUACCAGUUGUAGUGCUCCUAAAUAGAAGGGAUUUUUUUUUUGGGGGGGGUGUUACCAGGUAUUAAACCUAGGGGCAGUCAACCACUGAGCCACAUCCCCAGUUCUUUUUCUUUUUUCUUUAGAGACAAGGUCUCACUGAGUUGUGUAGAGCCUCACUAAAUUGCUGAGGCUGGCUUUGAACUCGCGAUCCUCCUGCCUCAGCCUCCUGAGCUGCUGGAAUUAUAGACAUGUGCCGCUGCGCUCAGUUCCUAUUCAUUUUUAAAACCAGCUUAAAUGGGUGCCCAGCACUAGUGUAUCUUCCAUACUGAGGGCCACAACAGUGCCAUUAUAUCCAUCGAUUUCUUUCAAAUUGACACAAUAUUCAAUUUCCAAAAGCCACAUCUGCUCUGGGUAAACUGAUAACACCAAAUUCUUCUGGGUCUCUCUGUGUAGCAGUCUUUCCUCCCCACUGUAGGACAGGACCCCUUGGGUAUGACCCUGCCAUACAAGGCAGGUCAGAGGAUUUCUUCAUGGCUAGCUCUUACCCAAAAAGGCAGGGAAAGUUAGCGUAAUGUUUCUAGGUUUUAUGGGAGAGCUUUGGGAGAACGGGAUUCUAGUUUCUGUGACCUGCCUUGGGAGAUUGAGGGCAUCAGGAGGGAAAAAGAGGAAAAAAAAAAAAAAAAACCUCGUUGGAGAAAUCUUGCUUCUGAGCCCUGCAAAAAGCUUAUGUUUAUAAAAGGAUUCUCAUUACCAGGUGCAGUGGUGCCCGCCUGUCAUCCCAGCAACUUGGGAGGCUGAGACAGGAGGAUCCCAAGUUCAAGGCCAGCCUCAGCAUCUUAGCAAGGCCCUAAGCAACUUAGAGAGACCCUGUCUCAAAACAAUAUUAAAAAGGCCUGGGGAUGUGGCUCAGUGGUUGAGUGCCCCUGAGUUCAGUCCCCAGGAAGGAGAAGGAGAAGAAGAAGGAGAGGAACUUCCCAGGCUCAGAGGCCAUGCCCAGUUUUGAGUAGAUAGCACAUGUCCUGGACUCUAACCACUGUCCUCCAUGGCCUCCAUCUGCCCAGCCACAUUAGAAAGAUGUUUGAAAUAAGUUUCCCACUUCAGGGAGGUGACCUAGAAUUGGAAAAAAAAAAAAAGGAGAUCAAGCAACCCUAGGAACAAAUAGCACAGAAGCAUACUUGGUAGGCAGGUUUUACCAGUUUGGGGUUAAGUAAGUUUGUAUGGCUUUUUUCUUUUGGGGGGCGGGUACCUGGGAUUGAACCCAGGGGCACUUAACCACUGAGCCACAUCCCCAGCCCUAUUUUGUCUCUUAUUUAGAGAAAACAUCUCACUGAGUUGCUUAGGUCCUCACUAAAUUACUGAGGCUGGCUUUGAACUUGUGAUCCUCCUGCCUCAGCCUCCUGAGCCCUGGGAUUACAGGUGUGCACCAGAACACCUGGCGGCUUUUGUUUAUUAAACAUUUUAGAAAAACAUUUAACAUUUUUAAGCUUACAGGAAAAGGGGGGGCACCCAUGUACCCAUCACCCAGAGUAACUACUAUCAAUUUAUGACCAAUUUGGUGCCAUCUAUACCUCCUCUGUUUUUCCUUCCCCCUCACCUCCUCCCUUCUGGGUGUUUUGAAGCAAAUCCCAAACAUGACAUUAUUUCAUCCAUAAAUAUUUCAGUAUAUAUCACUUAAAGAGAAGGAAUCCUUGUAGACAUAGCCACAAUACCAUAAUCACCCCCAAAGUAAUUAUCAAUAAUACCUUAAGGGUUGGGGCUGGGGCUCAGUGGUAGAGUGCUUGCCUCGCACAUGUGAGGCACUGUUUUGUUUUUUUUUUUUAAUAUUUUUUUGUAGUCGUAGAUGGACAGCAUGCCUUUAUUUUAUUUGUUUAUUUUUAUUUGGUGCUGAGGAUCGAACCCAGUGCUUCACACAUGCUAGGCAAGCGUUCCACCACUGAGACCCAGCCCAGAGGCACUAGGUUUUCAUCCUCAGCACCACAUAAAAAUAAAUAUAAUGAAGAUAUUGUCCAUCUACAACUAUAAAAGUAUUUUUUUAAAAAAACAAUACCUUAAUAUCAUUCCAUUUGCUAUGUUCAGAUUGAGGAACAACAUGCCCAGAUUAACACAAAGCCCAGUUUGUCUCUUGGGCUCUUUCUUUGAUGAAUUAUCCAAGAUGGCAGUCUGCUUCCAACCCGGUCCUACUUCCAAAUGCACGAAGGAGAAAAAAAAAAAAAACAAAAACAGAGAAUCUGAGUGGUCCUGAAAAGACACCUUCUUUUCUUGCUGCUAUUGUUGCUCCCGAGUCCUGCCGAUGGUAGCCAGGAUGGUCUUUUCCAUUCUACCACGUUUAAUUCAGAGCUAGGCCCUAAUGACUCGCCAAGGAACUUUGACCCUGCCUCUGGGGAGCCCUGAGAUUGGGAUCCCAAGUGGGAGGCUCUUUGCUUUUCUUUGAAAUACUUAGCUCUGUUUCCACAACACAAGGCCUCCAAGCCUGGAGCUACCACCCACCAUGAUAAGAAUCUGCCUUUCCCAUUCACAGUCUUUGCAACCAUAUUGACCUUAGUCCAACUUCUUCCUUCUUGGUGAAUUUCCCAAGAGUUCCCAAGUCCCCUGCCUGGAAGCUGACCCCCACCCCGACCCUCCUUAAGCCUUCAGAGAAGGGAGAUUCUUUCAAAGUGGAGGGCUGAGGCCCACAUCCCUCUAUUCUCUGGACUCUCUUUGACUUCCACCUUCUCCUGGGACAGGUUCUGCAUACCAAGGGCCACUGGGAGGGGCAGGUCCUAUCCAGCCACAAGAAAGGCCUUCUUAUACCCGUCCCCUAGCAAUAGCUAUGUGUCACCCAUAAUAGUUUUAUAGGUAAGAAAGGUGGACCAAGUUCUGCUCCAAGGUGACCUGCUAACCUCUCCUAGACAUCCCCGUUUGUUUUGAUUCUCUUUUGUUUGCUAUUUAAUUUCAAUCUUGGUCAUUUUUUUUUUCAGGAGGUGAUAUAUCUUCAUGGUUCAAAAUUCAAGGACACACAAUCAGCUCUUCAUAUCCAUGGGUUCUCCUCUGUGGAUUCAACAAACCAUGGAUGGAAACUAUUCCCCUAAAAUGGGUCUGUAUUAAACAUGUACAGAUUUUUUUUUUCUUCUCAUUAUUCCCUAAGUAGGGGAUCCUGGAACCAGUCCUGCACAGAUCUUAAGGGAUGCUAUACUUCUAGAUAUUCACCCAAUGAUUGCAUAACAGGGGUUCACUUGAUGUUUUGACUAUAUCCCUUGUGGCUUGGAAACUACAUUUUUUUUUCUUUUUCCCAACCUUCUACCUUCUUCUCCUUGAUCUUUUCCCUGGUCUUCUCCUUCCUGAUUGCUCCUCCCUAAUCUCAUUUUCUCUGAAU
rnacentral:lncRNA from 1 species